GGCCGGUUAGCUUAGUCAGUUGAGCGUGGUGCUAAAAACGCCAAGGUCGCGGGUUUGAUUCCCGUUCGGUCC
rnacentral:tRNA from 1 species